UACAGAGAGUGCGAGCGUUAUUCAUAGUCACUGGGCGUAAAGGGUGUGUAGGCGGUUGGACAAGUGCGGUGUGAAAUCUCCCGGCUUAACUGGGAGGGUGCGCUACAAACUGUCUGACUAGAGUGUGGGAUGGGUAAGUGGAAUUCCCGGUGUAGAGGUGAAAUUCGUAGAUAUCGGGAGGAACACCGGUGGCGAAGGCGGCGAUCUGGGUCGAUACUGACGCUGAGGUGCGAAAGCGUGGGGAGCAAACAGG
rnacentral:rRNA from 1 species